CUCCCCCAUCUCGCUACCCCAACAACAAGCUUCCCAGUUCGUGAGGUGAGGUAUCCCUUUGAUUCUCCAAAACUUUGUGCCUGUGGCAAAUUUUCCAUUGAACUGAACCCCGUUUGAUACUCCAAAUCAUUUCUGUUCUUGCGCUUACCACUGAAUUGAACCCGUUGGGUUGGGAGAUUCUGUUUCGUCAGGCUAGAACUAAAGCUGUGGUUGUCAGGCUAGAUUCAGUUGUAGGCUUUUCUUUCUUUCCUUGGAAAAUCAGUGUGCGUCUAUUUGGAUUAUUAUUUGCAGCUUUACCAUUCCGUGGACUCAUAAUGUGCCUUUUCUCAGGUGCACAAGGCGCAGAUCGUUUUGAUCUAAGAGGGGGAAGUCCUGACACCAGUAGAACAUCAAAUAGAUCCACCCAGUUAGUUCUGCCCAGCUCGGGACCAAUGAAAGCAUUAGUGCUGGAUCCAACCGGGGAGCAAGGAGUAGCCUUUGGUCCUGGUUGGAGCCACCAAUCGGAACAAAAGGUUCAUCAUUAGUUCUGGUUUGGGGCUCUAACAGGGACUAAUGGCGCGCGGCACAGUUAGUUCCGGUGGCAGCCUCCAACUAAGACUAAAGACGCCACUUUAGUUUGGGUUGGAACCACCAACCGGAACUAAAUUCCUAGGAUUUUUUUUUCUUUCUCCUUCCCUCUGCCCGAGCCAUUCUUCCAUUCAUGUUCUUCCUCCUCCUCACUUGGGUGAGGGGAGUUCAUACCCAUUUUUCCCAAGAUUCGUGAAGGCUUUUGAUUUUCCCUCCAUCCAAAGGUUAGAAACUUUAUCCUCUCAAAUUUUAUUGCUAGCGGAGCUCAUUUCAUGGGUUAGAAAUAGAGAAAUUUGAGGUUAUUUAGAUAGAGAAAAAUGUUAGAAUUUUUUUGAUUUAUAGAGAAA
rnacentral:lncRNA from 1 species